GGAGAGGUGGCAGAGUGGUUGAAUGCGGCAGUCUCGAAAACUGUUUUAGGGUCAAACCUAACGGGGGUUCGAAUCCCCCUCUCUCCG
rfam:Leptolyngbya sp. PCC 7376, complete genome.